GCAAGUCGAACGAGGACUAGGAGGUGCUUGCACCACCUAGAGCCGAGUGGCGGACGGGUGAGUAACACGUGACCAACCUACCUUCAUGGCGGGGGAUAACCUGGGGAAACUCGGGCUAAUACCGCGUAAUAUCAUGGUGUCGCAUGGCACUUUGAUCAAAGAUGGCCUCUUUACAAUGCUAUCACCUGGGGAGGGGGUCGCGGAGUAUCAGCUUGUUGGUGAGGUAAUGGCUCACCAAGGCUAUGACGAUUAGCGGGUCUGAGAGGAGAGCC
rnacentral:rRNA from 1 species